rnacentral:rRNA from 1 species
GCCAGACUCCUACGGGAGGCAGCAGUGGGGGAUAUUGCACAAUGGGGGGAACCCUGAUGCAGCGACGCCGCGUGAAGGAAGAAGUAUCUCGGUAUGUAAACUUCUAUCAGCAGGGAAGAAAAUGACGGUACCUGACUAAGAAGCCCCGGCUAACUACGUGCCAGCAGCCGCGGUAAUACGUAGGGGGCAAGCGUUAUCCGGAUUUACUGGGUGUAAAGGGAGCGUAGACGGCUGGCCAAGUCUGAAGUGAAAGCCCGGGGCUUAACCCCGGAACGGCUUUGGAAACUGGCCGGCUGGAGUGCUGGAGAGGCAGGCGGAAUUCCUGGUGUAGCGGUGAAAUGCGUAGAUAUCAGGAGGAACACCGGUGGCGAAGGCGGCCUGCUGGACAGUAACUGACGUUGAGGCUCGAAAGCGUGGGGAGCAAACAGGAUUAGAUACCCCAGUAAA